UUCAUCACCAAAGGAUGCAGUACUA
rnacentral:misc_RNA from 1 species